GAUGAACGCUAGCGGCAGGCUUAAUACAUGCAAGUCGAGGGGCAGCAGGUCCGUAGCAAUACGGAUGCUGGCGACCGGCAUACGGGUGCGGAACACGUACAGAACCUCCCUUCGAGCGGGGAAUAGCCCGGAGAAAUCCGGAUUAAUACCCCAUAGUAUGGUGAAGAGGCAUCUCUUUACUAUUAAAGAUUUAUCACUUGAAGAUGGCUGUGCGGCUGAUUAGGUAGUUGGCGGGGUAACGGCCCACCAAGCCUGCGAUCAGUAACUGGUGUGAGAGCACGACCAGUCACACGGGCACUGAGACACGGGCCCGACUCCUACGGGAGGCAGCAGUAAGGAAUAUUGGUCAAUGGACGAAAGUCUGAACCAGCCAUGCCGCGUGGAGGAUGAAGGUCCUCUGGAUUGUAAACUUCUUUUAUAUGGGACGAAAAAAGACCUUUCCAGGUCGUCUGACGGUACCAUAUGAAUAAGCACCGGCUAACUCCGUGCCAGCCGCCGCAGUAAUAC
rnacentral:rRNA from 1 species